CACGCCGUAAACGAUGCACACUAGGCAUUUGGAGUAUCGACCCUUCGAGUGCCGAAGCUAACGCGUUAAGUGUGCCGCCUGGGUAGUACGGCCGCAAGGCUAAAACUCAAAGGAAUUGACGGGGACCCGCACAAGCGGAGGAACAUGAGGUUUAAUUCGAUGCUAAGCGAAGAACCUUACCAGGGCUUGACAUCUAUGGAGUCUCCUAGAAAUAGGAGAGUGACUUAGGGAACCAUAAGACAGGUGU
rnacentral:rRNA from 1 species